CUUUUUAUGCAAUUUUAUCAUGAAUAAUUAAUAUUUUCAUAAUUUUUAUAUUAUCUAAAUUGUAUCUUAAUCUUAUAUAGUUUAAAAGUUUUAGGUUUCUAAAAUUUCAAUUGUUAACAUGUUAAUCUUUUAUUUUUUUCUUAAAUGUACAACCUUUCCUAGAACCUAUCUGGCAUGUCAAUAAAUUUUAUUUCUUUAUAAUCCAAAACCUUCUUAGGCAUCAAAAAUAUUUGAUUGAAUAGCAACCAAUAGAAUAGAAGAUGAUAUAAGAUUUGGCUAAUAAUAAUCUAUUGAAGUUAA
rnacentral:lncRNA from 1 species